AGUUAAUAAGCUUAAAGCAUUUGUUUUGAAAACAAAAGAUAGAAUUUUUAUUCUAUUAACUUCUUUAAUUUCCUAAAAUAUCUCAAUAAAUUAUAUUAUUCA
rnacentral:tRNA from 1 species